rnacentral:rRNA from 1 species
AGCAGCCGCGGUAAUACGGAGGAUGCGAGCGGUUAUCCGGAUUUAUUGGGUUUAAAGGGUGCGUAGGCGGAUUGAUAAGUCAGUGGUGAAAACCUUCAGCUUAACUGGAGACUUGCCAUUGAUACUGUUAGUCUUGAGUACGGUCAAGGUAGGCGGAAUGUGUAAUGUAGCGGUGAAAUGCUUAGAUAUUACACAGAACACCGAUUGCGAAGGCAGCUUACUGGGCCAUUACUGACGCUGAGGCACGAAAGCGUGGGGAGCGAACAGGAUUAGAUACCCUGGUAGUCCACGCCGUAAACGAUGAUCACUCGCUGUUGGCGAUACACAGUCAGCGGCUAAGCAAAAGCAUUAAGUGAUCCACCUGGGGAGUACGGCCGCAAGGCUGAAACUCAAAGGAAUUGACGGGGGCCCGCACAAGCGGAGGAACAUGUGGUUUAAUUCGAUGAUACGCGAGGAACCUUACCUGGGCUUAAAUGUAGAGUGCAUGAAGUAGAAAUAUUUCUUUCCUUCGGGACUCUUUGCAAGGUGCUGCAUGGUUGUCGUCAGCUCGUGCCGUGAGGUGUCGGGUUAAGUCCCAUAACGAGCGCAACCCUUAUCGUUAGUUGCCAGCGGGUAAUGCCGGGAACUCUAACGAAACUGCCGGUGUAAACCGUGAGGAAGGUGGGGAUGACGUCAAAUCAGCACGGCCCUUAUGUCCAGGGCUACACACGUGUUACAAUGGCCGGUACAGAGGGCAGCUACCUGGAGACAGGAUGCGAAUCUCAAAAGCCGGUCUCAGUUCGGGUCGGAGUCUGCAACUCGACUCCGUGAAGCUGGAUUCGCUAGUAAUCGCGCAUCAGCCAUGGCGCGGUGAAUACGUUCCCGGGCCUUGUACACACCGCCCGUCAAGCCAUGGAAGUUGGGGGUACCUGAAGUCUGUAACCGUAAGGAGCGGCCUAGGGUAAA